rnacentral:rRNA from 1 species
AGAGCGAACGCUGGCGGCAGGCUUAACACAUGCAAGUCGAGCGGGCGGUAGCGAAUAACGGUCAGCGGCAGACGGGUGAGUAACGCGUGGGAACGUACCUUUUGGUUCGGAACAACACAGGGAAACUUGUGCUAAUACCGGAUAAGCCCUUACGGGGAAAGAUUUAUCGCCGAAAGAUCGGCCCGCGUCUGAUUAGCUAGUUGGUGUGGUAACGGCGCACCAAGGCGACGAUCAGUAGCUGGUCUGAGAGGAUGAUCAGCCACAUUGGGACUGAGACACGGCCCAAACUCCUACGGGAGGCAGCAGUGGGGAAUAUUGGACAAUGGGCGAAAGCCUGAUCCAGCCAUGCCGCGUGAGUGAUGAAGGCCCUAGGGUUGUAAAGCUCUUUUGUGCGGGAAGAUAAUGACGGUACGCAAGAAUAAGCCCGGCUAACUUCGUGCCAGCAGCCGC